rnacentral:rRNA from 1 species
UACGUAGGUGACAAGCGUUGUCCGGAUUUACUGGGCGUAAAGAGCGCGCAGGCGGUCGUUCAAGUCGAGUGUGAAAGCCCCCGGCUCAACUGGGGAGGGUCAUUCGAUACUGAUCGACUGGAAGGCAGGAGAGGGGAGCGGAAUUCCCGGUGUAGUGGUGAAAUGCGUAGAUAUCGGGAGGAACACCAGUGGCGAAGGCGGCUUCCUGGCCUGUUCUUGACGCUGAGGCGCGAAAGCUAGGGGAGCAAACGGG